GCUGCGUUCUGCUAAAGAUGCAACAUUAACGAGGUCAACAAAAAAUGCAUCGCGGAGUUUUUUCGGAGAACAGCUUAAGUCUAUUCAAUCGCCAUUUUUGCAUGGAUAAGCCUUGGUAAUUCUACGGCUGAAAUGCAACUAACGGCUUCCUGUAGAGCCCUUGUGGUUCACUGUAAUCGAGCGGUUCUCAGUAGCUCCUUUUGGGCGGGUCAUGAGCCUGUCCAAGUUUCUGACCUAUCAGCUUUCGACGAUAUGCUAUUGGUCUACUGUGGCAGUGGCAGUAUGUAUUGUGUACAGAGCCAACACACUUUUGUGGUGCAUUGGUUGUUCAUAGUUACUGAAUAAAUCGCAAUUGGUUCUUUUGGGCCAGCGGUGAAUCAUUAAAUUGUUUGACCAACCAGCUUCUGACGGUAUUCUAGUGGCUUGCCGUGAUAUUGACGAGAAACGGUAAGACUUCGAUUCAUGAGAGGAAGCCUCAGAAAGGUCUACCACAACUAAGGAGCAUGGCAAACACGUAGAUUACCCAGUGAAAACAUUUCCGAGGCACUGGAAGAACAAAACAAUAGUGGACAUUCUAUGUUUCAUAGUUGGAAUAAUGGGAACCUACCACCCGUCGCCUGUAUCGACUGUAGGGCACGACUGGUUCCAGUAGCCGCAGUAAUUCGAGCUCCUUCAGU
rnacentral:ncRNA from 1 species